CCUACGGGAGGCUGCAGUGGGGAAUAUUGCACAAUGGGCGCAAACCUGAUGCAGCCAUGCCGCGUGUGUGAAGAAGGCCUUCGGGUUGUAAAGCACUUUCAGCGGGGAGGAAGGCGUUAAGGUUAAUAACCUUGGCGAUUGACGUUACCCGCAGAAGAAGCACCGGCUAACUCCGUGCCAGCAGCCGCGGUAAUACGGAGGGUGCAAGCGUUAAUCGGAAUUACUGGGCGUAAAGCGCACGCAGGCGGUCUGUCAAGUCGGAUGUGAAAUCCCCGGGCUCAACCUGGGAACUGCAUUCGAAACUGGCAGGCUAGAGUCUUGUAGAGGGGGGUAGAAUUCCAGGUGUAGCGGUGAAAUGCGUAGAGAUCUGGAGGAAUACCGGUGGCGAAGGCGGCCCCCUGGACAAAGACUGACGCUCAGGUGCGAAAGCGUGGGGAGCAAACAGGAUUAGAUACCCUUGUAGUC
rnacentral:rRNA from 1 species